rnacentral:rRNA from 1 species
GUGGGGAAUCUUGCGCAAUGGGCGAAAGCCUGACGCAGCCAUGCCGCGUGAAUGAUGAAGGUCUUAGGAUUGUAAAAUUCUUUCACCGGGGACGAUAAUGACGGUACCCGGAGAAGAAGCUCCGGCUAACUUCGUGCCAGCAGCCGCGGUAAUACGAAGGGGGCUAGCGUUGCUCGGAAUUACUGGGCGUAAAGGGCGCGUAGGCGGACAGCUUAGUCAGAGGUGAAAGCCCAGGGCUCAACCUUGGAAUUGCCUUUGAUACUGGCUGUCUUGAGUUUGGGAGAGGUGAGUGGAACUCCGAGUGUAGAGGUGAAAUUCGUAGCUAUUCGGAAGAACACCCGUGGCGAAGGCGACUCACUGGCCCAAUACUGACGCUGAGGCGCGAAAGCGUGGGGAGCAAACAGGAUUAGAAACCCCGGUAGUCC